rnacentral:rRNA from 1 species
AGCGAACGCUGGCGGCAGGCUUAACACAUGCAAGUCGAACGAGAUCUUCGGAUCUAGUGGCAGACGGGUGAGGAACACGUGGGAACAUCCCCUUCAGUUCGGAAUAACGUUGGGAAACUAACGCUAAUACCGGAUACGUCCUUCGGGGGAAAGAUUUAUCGCUGAAAGAUUGGCCCGCGUCUGAUUAGCUAGUUGGUGAGGUAAUGGCUCACCAAGGCUACGAUCAGUAGCUGAUCUGAGAGGAUGAUCAGCCACAUUGGGACUGAGACACGGCCCAAACUCCUACGGGAGGCAGCAGUGGGGAAUAUUGGACAAUGGGCGCAAGCCUGAUCCAGCCAUGCCGCGUGAGUGAUGACGGCCUUCGGGUUGUAAAGCUCUUUUGUCCGGGAAGAUAAUGACUGUACCGGAAGAAUAAGCCCCGGCAAACUUCGUGCCAGCAGCCGCGGUAACAC